rnacentral:rRNA from 1 species
AUUGAACGCUGGCGGCGUGCCUAACACAUGCAAGUCGAGCGGUAACAGGCGUAGCAAUACGUGCUGACGAGCGGCGAACGGGUGAGCAAUGCUUCGGAAUCUGCCCAAUGAUGGGGAAUAACCAGUCGAAAGAUUGGCUAAUACCGCAUACGCCCUUCGGGGGAAAGCGGGGGUCGCAAGACCUCGCGUCGAUGGAUGAGCCGAAGUCGGAUUAGCUAGUUGGUAGGGUAACGGCCUACCAAGGCGAUGAUCCGUAGCUGGUCUGAGAGGACGACCAGCCACACUGGGACGGAGACACGGCCCAGACUCCUACGGGAGGCAGCGGUGGGGAAUAUUGGACAAUGGGGGCAACCCUGAUCCAGCGACGCCGCGUGUGUGAAGAAGGCCUGCGGGUUGUAAAGCACUUUUAGUGGGGAUGAAAAGCACAUCGCUAAUACCGGUGUGUCUUGACCUAACCCAAAGAAAAAGCACCGGCUAACUCUGUGCCAGCCGCCGCAGUAAGAC